GAAGAAUUUUAUUUAUCUACGCCAGAAAACUACCACUACUUGAAUCAGUCUGGAUGUGUAGAAGACAAGACAAUCAGUGACCAGGAAUCCUUUAGGGAAGUUAUUACGGCAAUGGACGUGAUGCAGUUCAGCAAGGAGGAAGUUCGGGAAGUGUCAAGGCUGCUUGCUGGUAUACUGCAUCUUGGGAACAUAGAAUUUAUCACUGCUGGUGGGGCGCAG
rnacentral:lncRNA from 1 species